GUUUGCCCAUCUAUAUAAUUUUACGUUCAGUUGGCGGAAAAGCUCAGAAUGAAUUGUUUACUUGUGAUAGAAGGAUUGCGGCCAUGUCUCUGUACAAAAUAUCAUUUUAUUAUUCGGAUGUACACUGCCAAUUUACGGCGCUGUGUGUCCGAAUGGUUACUGCCGCCACUCGGAUGGAUGUUAUCGGACAGUGGCGUUGAACGUCUCGUGGAUUGAGGCCAAGGGCUUUUGUGAGAUUAUGGGCGGAUCUCUUCUGGCCCCUGUCUCAGAAGCCAUGGCAACGGCAACCGAAGCGGCGCUCCGAAGAACAAAAGGCACGAUACAUCCGGGAAAUUUCUGGUUGGACAUCACAGAUUUGCUAAACCCGAAGGACUUUAUAACGAUGGCGGAUAAGAAGAAGCUGUCGUACAAAGACUGGUCGCUCUCUUCGAAUAUCACGGAGAUUCCGGACACCCACAACUGCGUGUACAUGUCGGAGGCUCUUGGAUACCAGUGGAUGGUGACUUCCUGUACAGAUAAGAUGAACUUUGUAUGCUACAAGGCAGGGUAAGCGUCCUACCACCUACUACGGAGAGAUAUGUUGUUGGCACCACUCGCGUCUAUCGCGGACGAUAUCAUGGACGGUACAGUGAUUGGGUGACAGAAGACGUCUAUGGCUUUAGGGACAUCAGUCCACCGUCACAAGACUGUUAAAUACUUUCAACUUGCUGUCAGUACAUCAACAUAUAUCUAUACUAUAAAUUGUGUAUCUUAGUGUAAAUCUGUACAGAAAAUAAACACAUAAAACGUA